AACCCGACUACAUGAAGCCGGAAUCGCUAGUAAUCGCGGAUCAGAAUGCCGCGGUGAAUACGUUCCCGGGUCUUGUACACACCGCCCGUCACACCAUGGGAGUCGGAAAUGCCCGAAGUCAGUGACCCAACCGUAAGGAGGGAGCUGCCGAAGGUGGAGCCGGUAACUGGGGUGAAGUCGUAACAAGGUACC
rnacentral:rRNA from 1 species